rnacentral:rRNA from 1 species
CAACACGCUGAUGGUACUGCAUGGGUGACUGUGUGGGAGAGUAAGUCGUUGCCAGGU